rnacentral:lncRNA from 1 species
UUUGAAAGAAAACAUGUAUUUAUUUACUUCCUCUACAGUUUUCCUGACUGCUACAUUUCAUAAGAAGGGAUUGUUUAUGAGGGUCAAGGAGCUGGAGGCCUGGGGAGGAGCUGGUGUUUUUGUUCAAGUCUGAGGGUCCUGGAGCUGGAGCCCAGGGGAGGAGCCGGUGCUACCACUGAUGUCUUAGGGUCGUGGAGCUGAAGAUCCAAGAGGAGCUGGUGCUGCUAUUCUAGCUUGAGUCUCAUGGAGCUGGAGACCCAGGGAGAAGAUGGUGCUGCUGUUCUAAUUUAAGGAUCGUGAAACAGAAGACCCAGAAAGGAGCUGGUGUUGUCGCUGCUCAAAUCUGAGGGUGUUGGAGCUGGAGCCUGGGGGUGGAGCUGGUGCUGCCUUUGAAGUCUGAGAGUCAUUGAGCUGGAGGUCCAGGAAGGAGCUGGUGCUGCUGUUCUAGGGUGAGGGUGGUGGAGCUGCAGACCCAGGGAGGAGAGGUCUUGUUCUAGUUUCAGGGUUGUGGAGCUGCAGACCCAUGGAGGAGCAAUGCUGUUGUAGUUCGAGGGUCAGGAAGCUGGCGACUCAGGGAGGAGAGUUCUUGUUCUAGUUCGAGGGUCAUCGAGCUACAGGCCCAGGCAGGUGCAAUGUUGUUGUAAUUCAAGGGUCAGGAAGCUGGCGACCCAGGGAGGAGAGGUCUUGUUGUUAUUUGAGGGUCAUGGAGCUGCAGACCCAGGCAGGAGCAAUGUUGUUGUAAUUUGAGGGUCCAGAAGCUGACGACGCAGGGAGGAGAGGUCUUGUUUGAGAUUGAGGGUCGUGGAGCUGCAGACCCAGGCAGGAGCAAUGUUGUUUUAGUUUGAGGGUCCGGAAGCUGGCAAACCAGGGAAAAGAGGUCUUGUUCUAGCUAAGGGUCGUCGAGCUACAGAUCCAGGGAGGAGCAGUGUUGUAGUUCGAGUCCGGAAGCUGGCGACCCAGGGAGGAGAGGUCUUGUUGUUAUUUGAGGGUAAUGGAGCUGCAGACCCAGGCAGGAGCAUUGUUGUUGUAAUUCGAGGGUCCGGAAGCUGGAGACCCAGGGAGGAGAGGUCUUGUUCUAGUUUGAGGGUUGUGGAUCUGGAGUUUUGGGGAACAGCCCGUGCUGCUGUUUAACUGUGGGGAGGUUCCUGUGUGUCAGUUGAAGUUUGAUGGUUUGGGAGCUGGAGACCCAGGGAGGAGCCAGUGCUGCUGUUCUAGUUUGAGGGUAGUGGAGCUGGAGAUCCCGGGAAGAGCUGGUGCUGUCCUUUAAAUCUGUGGGUCCUGGAGCUGGAAAACUGGUGGGGAGCUAGUUCUGCCAUUCAUGUCUUAGGGUCGUGGAGCUGGAAAUCCAGGGAGGCAGUGGUGCUGCUGUUCUAGUUUAAGGAUCAUGAAGCUGGAGACCUGGAUAGCAGAUGGUGCUACCAUUAUUCAAAUCUGAGGGUCAUGGAGCCGGAGCCUUGGGGAGUUGCCGGUGCCGCCUCUCAAGUCUGAGAGUUGUUGAGCUGGAGAUGCAGGGAGGAGCCCGUGUUGCUGUUGUAGUUUGAGGGUCAUGGAGCUGGAGACUCAGAGAGGAGGGGUGCUGUUCUAAUCUGAGGGGUGUGAAUCUGGAGACCCAGGGAGGAGCUGGUGCUGCUGUUGCUUAAGGCUGAGGGUUGUGGAGCUGGAGACCUGGGGGUGGCUGGUGUUGCUGUUGUUCAAGUCAGAGGGUCAUGGGGCUUGAGGUACAGGGAAGAGCUCGUGCUGCGGUUGCAGGUUGAGGGUCAUGGAGCUGGAAAUCUAGGGAGGAGCCACUGCUGCUGUUCAAGUCUGAGGGUCGUGUAGCUGGAGAGCGGGGAGGAGGUAGUGUUGGUGUCUAGUGUGAGGGUGGUGGAGCAGUAGACCUGGGGAAGAGCCGGUGCUGUGUAGUUUGAGGGUCAUGGAACUGGAGACCUAGGGAGCAGCCAGUGCUACCACCAUUUAAGUCAGAGGGUCAUGGAUCUGGAGCUUUGGGUAACAGCCCAUGCUGCUGUUUAACCUUGGAGGGAUCCGGUGUGUCAGUUGAAGUUUGAGGGUUUGGGAGCUGGAGACCCAGGGAGGAGCUGAUGAUGCCAUUCUAUUUUGAGGGUCGUGGAUCUGGAGACCUUGGGAGAGGCUGGUACUGCUGUUGAAGUUUGACGGUCGUGGAACCGGAGACAGGGGAAGGAGCCGGUGCUGCUGCUGUUCAUGUCUGAGGGUUGUAGAGCUGGAGACCCAGGGAGAAGUCCAUACUACGGCUUUUUAAGUCUGAGGGUCAUGGAGCCUGAGACCUGGGGAGGGGCCAGUGCUGCUGUUCAAAUGACUCCUUCCUGGGUCUCCAGCUCCAUGACCUUCAAACUAGGACAGCAGCAGCAGAUCCUUCCGGGGUCUUCCAGCUCCAUGACCUUCACACUAGAACAGCAGCACCGGCUCCACCCUGGGUCUCCAGAUCCACGACCCUCAAACUAGAACAGCAGCACUGACUCCUCCCUGGGUCUCCAGCUCUACAACCCUCAGACUCGAGGAGCUGGAGACCUGGGGAAGAGCCAGGGCUGCUUUUCUACUUUGAGGGUUGUGGAGCUGGAGACCCAGGGUGCAGCAGCUGCUGCUAUUAUAGUUUGAGGGCCUUGGAGCCAGAAACUUUGUGAGGAGCCGGUGCUGCGUUUCAAAUCUGAGAGUCAUUGAGCUGGAGACCCAGGGAGGAACCGGUGUUGCUGUUCUAGCCUGAGGGUAGUGAAGCUGGAGACCCAAGGAGGAGCCGAUGCUGCUGUUCUAGUUUGAGGUUAGUGGAGCUGGAGGUCACAGGAAGAGCCGGUGCUGCUGUUUAAAUCUGUGGGUCCUCGAGCUGGAGCCCUGUGGGGGAGCUGGUGUUGCUGUUGUUCAAGUCUGAGCAUAAUGGGGCUUUAGGUACAGGGAGGAGCCGCUGCUGUUCAAGUCUGAGGGUCAUGUAGCUGGAGAGUGGGGAGGAGGUAGUCUUGGUGUCUAGUGUGAGGGUGGUGGAGCUGUAGACCUGGGGAGGAGCCGGUGCUGCUGUGUAGUUUGAGGGUCAUGGAACUGCAGACCUAGGAAGGAGCCGGUGCUACCGCCAUUUAAGUCAGAGGGUCAUGGAUCUGGAGCUUUGGGGAACAGCCCGUGCUGCUGUUUAACUGUGGGGAGGAUCUGGUGUGUCAAUUGAAGUUUGAGGGUUUGGGAGCUGGAGACCCAGGGAGGAGCCGGUGAUGCCAUUCUAUUUUGAGGGUCGUGGAUCUGGAGACCUGGGGAGAGGCUGGUACUGUUGUUGUAGUUUGAGGGUCGUGGAAGUGGAGACAGGGCGAGGAGCCGGUGCUGCUGCUGUUCAUGUCUGAGGGUUGUAGAGCUGGAGCCCCAGGGAGAAGUCCAUACUAUGGCUUUUUAAGUCUGAGGGUCAUGGAGCCUGAGACCUGGGGAGGAGCUGGUGCUGGUGUAUAGUUUGAGGGUCGUGGAACUGGAGACCUAGGGAGGAGCCGGUGCUACCGCCACUUAAGUCAGAGGUUCGUGGAUCUGGAGCUUUGGGGAAGAGCCCGUGCUGCUAUUUAGCUGUGGGGAGGAUCUGGUGUGUCAAUUGAAGUUUGAGGGUUUGGGAGCUGGAGAUCCAGGAGGGAGCCUAUGAUGCCAUUCUAUUUUGAGGGUCAUGUAUGUGGAGACCUGGGGAGAGGCCGGUACUGCUGUUGUAGUUUGAGGGUUGUGGAAGUGGAGACAAAGGUAGGAGGCGGUGCUGCUGCUGUUCAUUUCUGAGGAUUGUAGAGCUGGAGGUCCACGGAGGAACCAGUGUUGCUGUUCUAGUCUGAGGGUAGUGAAGCUGGAGACCCAAGGAGGAGCUGGUACUAUUGUUCAUGUGUGAGGAUUGUGGAGCUGGAGAACCAGAGAGGAGCCGGUGCUGCUGAUCUAGUUUGAGGGCCGUGGAGCUGGAGAUCCCGGGAAGAGCCAGUGCUGCCGUUCAAAUCUGUGGGUCUUGGAGUUGGAGUGCUGGGGUGACCCGGUUCUUUCAUUCAUGUCUUAGAGUCAUGGAGCUGGAAACCCAGGGAGGCGGCGGUGCUGCUGUUCUAGUUUAAGGAUAGUGAAGCUGGAGACCUGGACAGGAGCUGGUGCUACCACUGUUCAAAUCUGAGGGUCAUGGAGCUGGAGCCUUGGGGAGGUGCCGGUGCUGCCUCUCAAGUCUGUGAGUUGUUGAGCUGGAGAUUCAGGGAGGAGCCAGUGUUGCUGUUGUUGUUGGAGGAUUGUGGAGCUGGAGGCUG